UGUAAGAAUUCCUCAUGUAACAUCUUGCCCAUUUCUCUUUUACUUUGUAGAUGCUGUCCAACCAAGUUUGUGUUUUCACAUUGCUUCUUAUGGAAUUGAAAGCGUCUUCAAAGGCUUCCUCUUCCUCAUACUUGUACAUGCAAGCACUGAAAUCAGCAAGUACAUUUGGUCCAUCCUCGUCUUUUUUCUUAUGAGGUACAAUUCCUGAAUCAUCUGCUGUUUCAAUUUCAAAUGCUUGCAAGGCCGAAAUCUUACUCUGUGAUGGCAUCAAGUGGCUUGUCCCAGGUAACUGCAAGACAUGGUUGUGUUCAACAACUAACUCAUGCACCUCAUAAUUUCCUGCUUCUCGGUCUAUAGUAAUUCCCAUUCGAACAUUGCAGCCGGUCCUUGUUUCUGCACGAGGACGCUUUGUACUAUUAUCCCUUUUGUCUUUUCUUCUGUAGCCCUCAUUGGAACAAACAUAUCUUGUUGAAGUGAUUACUCCAUCGAGUUUGCUCUUGUUUUCAUAAUUUAUCCUUACAUCAAAACCAAUAUGACCUCCAUAACAUGUCCAAAAGUUCCAUGUCUCUUUUGUGGAAUUGAAUUUCAUACCAAUCUGAGGCAUCCAACUAGGAACCACAUUUUUCCUAUAAAAAUUACACAUAACUUAUUUGUUUGUUUGUUUACACUACAAUCAUAAGGAGAUAUGACCUGAGAAUUUAACAAAACUGUCAGUACCUGUUAGCAUCCUCAUUAGAGCUAGUCAUAUUCUCCAUUAGACUUUCUCUUAUUUUUUGUUGCUAGGAGAAGGACAACAAAAGGGAGAUCAUCUGCAUUAAUCUCCUGUAAUGUUUUGGAAAUCCCAGAAGAAGGAAGGCAAAAGGGAGAUAAUCUUCAUCUCCUACGGAUCAGCUUGCCUUGGUUUCGCUCUGAACAUGGAGGAUGAUCAGAAGAAAGAUACGGCAAAAAGGAGUUGAUCUGUGCCAGGGUUCGGCUCCUUAUCUUGCCUUGGUUGCGCUCUGAACACGAAGGACGAUUAGAAGAAAGAUAGGGCAAAAGGGAGUUGAUCUGCGCCAGGGUUCGGCUCCUUAGCUUGCCUUGGUUGCACUCUGAACAUGGAGGACGAUCAGAAGAAAGAUAGGGCAAAAGGAGGAACGAGGAAGAUGAGCGGGACAAAGGCAAAGAGAUCGCUGUUUGGCGCCAAGGCGAUUAUCAGGGUGUGUUUUGUUUGGCGCCAUUGUGAGUAUCUUCGUGGUUCUGUUUGGCGGCAAUCCUGCAGCCGUAGGAGAUUUUGUACCACAUAAUUAGCUGUUUGUUUUCAUUUAUUAACAAAAUCAAGUGGGGGUAGUGAGAGUCGUCAGAUUUAAAUGGACGGCUGAUGUGAGUUGGUACAGUACCCGUGCAGUAACAACGUGAUUGCAGAGGAGCCA